rnacentral:rRNA from 1 species
GACGAGCGCUGGCGGCGUGCCUAAUACAUGCAAGUCGAACGCACUCUCGUUUAGAUUGAAGGAGCUUGCUCCUGAUUGAUAAGCAUUUGAGUGAGUGGCGGACGGGUGAGUAACACGUGGGUAACCUGCCCUAAAGUGGGGGAUAACAUUUGGAAACAGAUGCUAAUACCGCAUAAAACCUAGCACCGCAUGGUGCAGGGUUGAAAGAUGGUUUCGGCUAUCACUUUAGGAUGGACCCGCGGUGCAUUAGUUAGUUGGUGAGGUAAAGGCUCACCAAGACCGUGAUGCAUAGCCGACCUGAGAGGGUAAUCGGCCACACUGGGACUGAGACACGGCCCAGACUCCUACGGGAGCAGCAGUAGGGAAUCUUCCACAAUGGACGAAAGUCUGAUGGAGCAACGCCGCGUGAGUGAAGAAGGUUUUCGGAUCGUAAAACUCUGUUGUUGGAGAAGAAUGUAUCUGAUAGUAACUGAUCAGGUAGUGACGGUAUCCAAACC